rnacentral:rRNA from 1 species
UACGUAGGGUGCGAGCGUUGUCCGGAAUUAUUGGGCGUAAAGAGCUCGUAGGCGGUGUGUCGCGUCGGCCGUGAAAACCUGCAGCUUAACUGUGGGCUUGCGGUCGAUACGGGCAUCACUGGAGUUCGGCAGGGGAGACUGGAAUUCCUGGUGUAGCGGUGAAAUGCGCAGAUAUCAGGAGGAACACCGGUGGCGAAGGCGGGUCUCUGGGCCGAUACUGACGUGAUGCGCGAAAGCGUGGGGAGCAAACAGG